rnacentral:rRNA from 1 species
CAAAACGACUCUCGGCAAUGGAUAUCUCGGCUCUUGCAUCGAUGAAGAACGUAGUGAAAUGCGAUACUUGGUGUGAAUUGCAGAAUCUCGUGAACCAUUGAGUCUUUGAACGCAAGUUGUGCCCGAGGCCUUGUGGCCGAGGGCACGCCUGCUUGGGGGUCAUG